rnacentral:sRNA from 1 species
UAAAAUGUUACACAAUGCCUCUAAGUC